rnacentral:rRNA from 1 species
UACGUAGGGUGCAAGCGUUAAUCGGAAUUACUGGGCGUAAAGCGUGCGCAGGCGGCUUUGCAAGACAGAUGUGAAAUCCCCGGGCUUAACCUGGGAACUGCAUUUGUGACUGCAUGGCUGGAGUGCGGCAGAGGGGGAUGGAAUUCCGCGUGUAGCAGUGAAAUGCGUAGAUAUGCGGAGGAACACCGGUGGCGAAGGCAAUCCCCUGGGCCUGCACUGACGCUCAUGCACGAAAGCGUGGGGAGCAAACAGG